CCUACGGGAGACAGCAGUGAGGAAUAUUGGUCAAUGGGCGGGAGCCUGAACCAGCCAAGUCGCGUGAGGGAAGACGGUCCUAUGGAUUGUAAACCUCUUUAGGCGGGGAGCAAUCCUGGGCACGCGUGCCCGGUGGGAGAGUACCCGCAGAAUAAGCAUCGGCUAACUCCGUGCCAGCAGCCGCGGUAAUACGGAGGAUGCGAGCGUUAUCCGGAUUUAUUGGGUUUAAAGGGUGCGUAGGCGGAUUUGUAAGUCAGCGGUAAAAUCCCCGCUCUCAACGUGGGAACUGCCUUUGAAACUGGCGAACUGGAGUGUGUGAGAGGAUAGUGGAAUGCCAGGUGUAGGAGUGAAAUCCGUAGAUAUCUGGAGGAACAUCAGUGGCGAAGGCGACUAUCUGGCACAUAACUGACGCUGAGGAGCGAAAGCGUGGGUAGCAAACAGGAUUAGAUACCCUUGUAGUC
rnacentral:rRNA from 1 species